UUUACAUAGCCUAGCAAAGCAACAAAUAUCGUGAGCUGCAGCUGGCAGAAUGACACUAAAUUGUGUAAUCGCUUUCUGGAGCUGCCGGCAUGCUGGGGGCCUGGGCCCAUGUCACAUGUACAGCAGCAUGGACAGAGACGUUAGUCAGCUGGUUCCUGUCAGCAAAUUUCUCCUCUGCUCUGUGACUGAAGGGCUUAGUGUAUGUCUGUGGCGGGUCACCAGCUGAUUGGCCCAGCUCUGCACCAACCAGAGAGACUGUGGCAGGUCACCAGCUGAUUGGCCGUGCUCUUCACCAACCAGGUACAUGCAGAGGGGGAGGUGUCAAGUGCGCAAGCACCUGCCUCUUCUGCUCUAAGUGCCCGACAUGCCCCUUUGAUUUGAUACCAAAAAAACAAUAUUUUUAUCAUCAUUACUGCAGUCAUUAAUUUUCAUUCAUUCACUCAUUCAUUCAUUCAUUUUGUUAAAAUAUGUGCUGUUUAAGGAACUGGACAUUGUAAAACCUAGUGUUUAUAGGCUGAUGUACCCAUUUCUCACUUUGAGCACCUGCCCCUCAAAAGGUCUUGCAGGGCCCUGACUCCAACCCCUGAAUUCAGUCAGUAGUUUGUCCCUGAAUUUGACAAAGUGCAAGCACUCUCCCGCUUAUUUGCUGAAGCCCUUGAGGUUAAGUAUCGUGCUCAAUGGCGCAAUUGCAGUGUACAGAGGUUAUAAAGGUAACCGCUCUGCAUCGAGAGCAAUGAAGGAGUUCAUUUCUUCACUGGGUCAAUACUAAUGAAACAGCCGCGUUUGUUAAUCAUGCAGAGAAGUCUAGUGCGAUCUCAAAGCCAAGGCCUGUCCUUUCCUCAACGGAAAGUCCGUUUGAAUUAAUCAAUCAAUCAAUCAUUUGAAUUGAUUCCAUUAAUUAAGUUGGUAAACAAUGUACAGACCUGCCUAAAUGUGUUGAUGAUUUCAUUUGGAAAAGGCAAUUGUUAUAAACGGCUUGAUUUUUUUUUUUUUUUGUUUGAUUUACGUUUGGACAAUGUGGUAAGGAUUGUAUGUCCUUCAGACAAUGUGGGAAUUUUUUCCUUACAUGUUGCGGUCCUGUGUCCUAGUGCUCUAGUUCACCACCUCUUUUCCUCAUGGUCAAUCUUGUUUCAUGGUCACCAUAAAGGCUUGUUAAAGUUGCGUUAACGUGAGCAGGCUUGGAAUUAAUUCCACUUACGUAACUAUCUGCAGGACCGUUAAUCAUACUUAGGGAAGCUGCAUUCUUCUGCGGGACAUCGGUGUCCAAAUACCGUGCGAUAGGAAUGCCGCGUUUAUAACCGUACUAAACCUGCUGGCGAUUUAAUGCACCAUAUUUCAUAUCGCAAUUUUUUUUUUGCACCCAGCGAGUCUCACGGCCCUUAUAAAACGGCACCUUCAUUCAUAUUUCAGCCAAUUCAUUCGUCGCGGCUCAUUAGACCAGGGAUCCGGCUCUAAUUGCGUAUGCACUUCAGAAUAUUUCAUUAGCGACCGCGGUUUAUUCGGCUCCGUUCCGUCUCUCUGGUUUCGUUAUCUCCAGUCCCUGACUGAGCACGCGGCUGACUGCGCACGUUCGCUCGAGACGCGGGAAGGAGCUUUCCAGAGGUAGCCUUCUGUUUGAGUUGGUCUGGGAGAGACACACCUGUCAGAAGUCUCCUUGCCCCACCCGCUAUCAGAAAAUGUUCCCCCUCCCUAGGCCUUCCCCUUGAUUGGUUGACCCAUUACACGCUGGCAGUGAUCCUGCCCUCUGAUAGGGUAAAACAUGAGGGUAGUGACCCUGCCACUUGGGUCUGAUAGUACCCAGUGAAUUUCUCUCAGCUUGAACAGCUGUAAAUAUAACUAAAUUCUAAAACUGAUUUUCUUUAUCAGUCGAGGUUUGUACAGUAAGACUAACAUGUUUGGAGUUUGCUGGCUUAGAUGAACUUUUUAAAGCUGAUAUCUCAAGAAAAUAGAAAUUAAAAGCACAGAAAAUACUGUACAAAUGUUGUACAGUAUGCGGAUUGUGUGAUAUAAGUUCUGAAUUUAAUUAUAAUUGCUACUGAUAUAAAACUAUUCCUACAUUCGUUGCCUAUGCAGUAGUAUAUCUUUAGGUGGCGUGGUGCUACACUCAGUUUCGGAUAAUAUUUUUUAAUGGUUCAUAAACCACAGGAUUCUGAUUCAUCUGAAGAAUCUUGCAUCAUGAUUGGGCGGAACAAACGCCUGUGUCCAAUAGCGAUGCCCCCACUUCCCCCCGCAGUGCUGAUGUUCCCACUUCUCAGUUCCCACACUCUUCCGCUUGCGUUAGCAUCACGAGGCUAAGCGCUUCGCGGCUACAGUGGAAAAGUAC